UAAUAGUGAUAAAGAAAAUGUCUUUACUUGAAAACAUCUUUGAAAAUUCAAAUUUAUCGCGCUAAAAUCUUGAGCAUGCUCUUUGUGGUACAGCCUCCCCAUUCGAGAUAUCGAUCCUAUGGCUGAGGGGUCAGAUCAGUAGCAACGCGACAGUACUGAAGGUAAGCUGCGUCUAUAAAUAAAAUAAUAAUAAGCUAAAACAAAUUAUUAUAUUUUCUACUAAAUCAAUUCAGAGAAUAGCUGUCAGUGAACUUAUCAUUUCCAUGAUUAUCCUAGAAAUAAUUUAAUAACAAUAGCUAUUAAGUAGCUGAAAUAUUGCAGAUUUGUAAAAACACAAAAAGAACAAACACUGGGAAAAUGUGUGGUGGAUUUACGUGCUCUAAAAAUGCUUUGACAGCACUGAAUAUUCUUUAUAUUGUAGUAGCAUUUAUAUUAAUUGGAGUCGCGGUUUAUGGAAGAGCUUCAGCAUUGGUAACCAAUUUACCAAUAAUUGGUGGCAUUUUGGCAUGUGGAGUAUUGCUGAUUUUAAUAUCAAUAUUAGGACUAAUUGGAGCUGUAAAGCAUCAUCAAGUGCUUUUGUUUUUCUACAUGCUCAUUCUUUUCCUGUUAUUCUUGGUUCAAUUUAGCAUCGCUUGUGCUUGUCUGGCUGUCAAUACUGAACAACAAGAGCAAUUGGCUGAAGAAGGAUGGAAGCAUGUGGGUUUGGACUUAAAAGCCAAAGUUCAAGAAACCUUCAACUGUUGUGGGUUUAAUGGAACUGAUUCAGAUCCAGUUCAACCUUCAUGUGAGGCUGUUACCACAAUUUGCUGCCGUGCGAAUUAUGGAGAUUCUGUAGCAUGUCGGUGUGAACCUUGUAUGGAUAAACUUCAAUCAACAAUUGAUCAUGCAUUUAAAUUAUGUGGAGGAAUUGGUUUAUUCUUUAGUUUUACUGAGUUCGUUGGUGUUUGGUUGACAGUGCGCUACAGGAACCAGAAAGAUCCAAGAGCUAAUCCUAGUGCUUUUCUUUAGUCUAACAUCAUCGCCAUGUCCCCUGUCACCUCGCACGAAACCUUAAAUAGAUGGUAAUUGCAGCUUUUUUGGCAAGACGUUAUAGAAAUCAGCUAGAUCCUCAAGAGAAAGCCGCAAGAGCUGUUUUUCCAAGACAAAAUUACCUUUAUUGACCCUUUACAAUGUUGAGACCAAUAGUCUUUCUAUCCUUGUCACGCAUUACAAGGUAACAUACAAUCCUUAUCCUGCACAAACCUUGGCGAUCCUUAAUCAAAAAAUAGCCAAAGACAAAACAAUAUUUCUCGAAUUAAUAACGUGAAUUCUUAGGUAUUUAUUUAUUUAAAUACAUCGGUGAAACUCAAAGUUAAAACUAUCUUAUCAAUUGUAAGUAUAAAAAUUUCGUCUUCAAUCUGAUUGGAAAUUUAUUAAACUUAAAAUUGAUAGAAAUAAUUUUAGUGUGUGCUCUAGUCAGCCACGAACAAAAUAUUCGUAAAAUAAUACUAAAAAGAAACUACGCCUCAAAGCGCCUUGUAGACUAGAGAUUCAAUGAAAAGUCUUCUUCAUACGUCAUAAUCACAUAUUUUACUACGUGUAGAUUUCGUUCUAAUCGAUUUAUCUCAAAGUUUUAAAUAGAAGUAGCGAAAUUAACAAAACCUAUUGAAAAAAAAACGAGAAAAUGCACGAAUGUUGUAGUGAUUAUAUUUUAUGUGAGACUUGAAAACUUCUUGAGACUGAUCAAUUGACGGGAAUAUUUAAAGCUCUGGCAACACUGGCAUUUAUCAAGUAUAUUAAAAGAUAUCGUUAUUAUCAUUAUACAUAUAUUCAUAUCUAUAUGUAAAUGUUUAUAGUGAAAUGAUUAAGCUAAAGAUAAUUUAGUUCAUUGCUUCGCAAAAAAAUAUAAACAUUAGUGCUUUAAAUCAUUUCUACUCAACGAAAAAAUCACAACAGAAAUCGUAUGAAGCGUAAUGUAGAUGUAUUGUAAAUUACCAUAGUUGGUAAAUAUUAUAAUAUAAAUUGUGUAUAACUUGUCUA
rnacentral:misc_RNA from 1 species